rnacentral:misc_RNA from 1 species
CCUUCAGUAGUUCCAUCUCCUCUUUUGUUGGACAAAACUUUAUGAGGUUCUCAACCUGAUCUGCACUUAACGUUGAAUCCUCAAGAGCAAGCACUGAACUCUUUAAUUCAUUUAGUGGCACUUUCACCUUUGAAAGCAUGAUUUCACAAUUAUAUGCUCGUCUGUGAUCAAUCAAUUGCACUUUAUCAACUUUAGGUCCCCGUGAGCUACGCAUACUUGACUUCCUCCCAUGAUCUAAAUUUGGUGUUGAUGCUGAAAAGAGACUCUCAAGCUCUGACAUGUCAAUCUCUGGAGCCUUGGAGGCUUCACCAGAUUUUUGUGCCUCUGCCCAUAAGCUUCCUUGAACAGCUCUUGUUAACUUCAACCAAUGCAAUGGCUUUAGUUUUUUGGUUUGAUAGCUCUUUGAACUUAUAGUACGAGAUAAGCGUCCCUUGGUGCUGGAAGGAGAACUGAAUGGUGGAGCAGGAGUUGGUGGUGCAGGAGAUGGAGAUUCAUUACUACCCAUCUUUAAAAUACCUUUACCAAAAGGAAGGGGAGGAGGGGGUGUAGAAACAGCAUGAGAAGAAUUGGAUGACAAAGUGGAUGGAGGUGGUGGUGGUGGUGGUGGCGGCUGCGGCGGCAUUAGAGUUGAAAUAGUCAGAUUGGUUGCUUGCCUUGAAUGAAGAGGAAGGGAUGGGGGUGGAGGAGGUCCAACUCUAAUAGCACCAUUCUCCUUCAAAGGUGGAGUUGGAGGAGGUGGUGGUGUUGGAGGAGGAGGUGGUGGUGUUGAGGCUCCCGCUUUAAUGGCGAGCUUAUCUCUCGAAGGUGGCACUGAAGGAGGUGGUAUUCCUAAAGGAGGAGUGGGAGGCAGUGGUGAAGUUACAAGAGUAUCACGACCAAGUUGGGGAGUGCCUGAUGACAUCUGAUCUUUGCCCCUUAAAAAAGUUUCAGUCCUCUUGGUAAAUGAGGGAUCUAUUGAUUUUGAAGCAGAAAUAUGAUGAGGAGGUGUUGAUGAAGUUGGAAGAGUUUUUGAGGCAUUGGAAUUCGUGAUAGUUCGCAAUGGAGGUAUUGAUGGUGAAACAAAAACACUUGAAGGUUUCACAGCUUCAAUUCCAUCUGGAAGUGACAAGGUUUGAUUUGAGGCAUCCUUAGAUAUUUUCUUAUGAGUGAUAUCAGCUCUUUCAAAUGAGGCAUCAACAUGUGAUGUAGUUUUAGCGUGAGAAUCUAAUGGUAACUGAGAUGGUUGUUGACACGUAAGAUCAGAUUGACUGGCAAGUUGAAGGCCAACUUGAAUGUCUUUGUGCUUAUCCUCCUCAAUCGCAUGAGCAUGUGGAGAGGAUUUUGGUGAGUGUAGAAACUCAAUCUUUUGUGUUGAGAACAUGGAGCUCUCCAUUCCACUAUUCAAGGUCAUGUGUUUCUUUCUCUCCUGAUGCUUUUUAGGACUUGUUUCCAAUCUAUAAGGGCUUCGAGGACUUUGAGGGCUAAGUUGUACACCAUAUACCAAAUCAGUG